rnacentral:lncRNA from 1 species
CUAUGUGAAUGGUUGUAUGUCAAAUGGUACUCCGGUACGGCAUACCCCUCUAUGUUGAAAAAAUGUUCGUAUGUCAAAUGGUGCCCUCGGGUACGACAUAUCCCUUCAUGUCAAAUGGUGCCUCCGGGUACGGCAUGUAUGAAAAGUUAUAAAGUUAAUGUUUUGAAAUGUAUAACUUGAUCACGAAUGCACCUAUGACACCUAUUGAGUUUUUCAACUCACGGGUUUAAUCCCAUCUCUACAAAUUGAAGGAAUUCUACCUCGGGC